rnacentral:lncRNA from 1 species
GUGGGAACCUUCGAGCCUGCGGGUGUUUGCAGGCCCAGGCGGUCCAGUACCGCCUCCCGGUGUGGCUGGCCGUACUGCGGCUGCUUCAAGGGUGGGAGACCUUAGCUUCCGACAGCCCGCGGGGAGUUCAGCUCCACCAGCACUGAGAAGGUGUUCGGCAAAGUUUAAACCGACAAACAGCUUCCACUUUUGCUCCAUAAUCCAGCGGUGCUUAGCCCCCAGGGCGAAGACUUGGCGCUGGACUGGAUUCUUUUGUUGGAGAACCUGACCCUUUGGAAGAAACACAGGCAUGGAGAGGUGAGAAGCCAAAGUCCAGAGGUCACGUGACGAGGCCAUCUUGUGGGAAGUUGGGAGCCAGGCUUCCAGGCCCGGCCUGCCACAGCGCACGCCUCUCCCGUUUAGGAGAGGACCACGGGAUGACAGGGAGACGCGUGUGAGGAGCACAGCCAGCCUCGUCUGCUGCAGACCCCGGGGCGAGGGGCGCUGGUACCGGACCCCUCCCUCUGGCCCUGAAAACCACAAAGAGGGCCCGAGAGUGAGGGGCAGGAAAGGGGAAAUCAUGGGGAGUGAGGACUGCCGACAGACCUCAGAGCAGGAAGUGUUGCCACGCCUGGAGUUAGAUCAUUUUUGGAGGGCGAGGGGACUUCAUCCCUCCUCGCCAAGGGCCCCUCCUCCGCAGAAAGCCGAAGGGUGGGCAGUGACAACUGAAAGCACGCGGGAGGAGGCAGACAAUCGGAAAGACAGGCCUUUGGGUCCCCGAAAGCCACAGUAGGAGUAGGUGUGAACGAGACAAGAGGUAGGAAAAGAAGAGGUCGUUUAUUCCUUUGCCCUGAGGGGAGGGGCCGUGGACUAAGCCAAUAGAAAGAGGGAUGAAGCAUCUGCCCCUGUCGUGCACGGUGCUGGCUCCAACCCAUUCUUCCUCCACUAGAGCUUUGUACUCAGCAAACACCCCCCACCCCCUACCCCAGUCAGCCAGGAAGGGCAGAGGGACACAUCUGCUGAUGGGAAGACAUCUUUUAGAUGCGAGCCGCCGUUCUGAGCACUUUACGCACGCAUUAGCUCAGUGCUCAUAACAGGCACGAGGUGGGCAACAGUACACCUUCAUUUUACGAACCCGGAAACUGAGGCCCAGAGCGCUGUCUUGCUCUGCUACAGGUCACAGUAAGCAGCGGCGGGUGGAUGCCCUGAGCCUGCGGCUUCUCUCCAGACCUGUGGACCACCUGUGACCUUGACCCGCGCCUCCCGGGCCUGCGCCUCAGUCUGCGCCUCUGUAAAGCGAGAAGAUUGGGCCGAUGCUCCCCCAGAUCCCUUCCAGACGCAAAGGCAAAGACGAGGCGUGCGGGUCCUCCCCGCGCCACCGCGGCCCACUCACCCCUCAGCCCACGGCCCUCAGCCAGCCCCACGCAGGGCC